rnacentral:rRNA from 1 species
AUUGAACGCUGGCGGCAUGCCUUACACAUGCAAGUCGAACGGCAGCACGGGAGCAAUCCUGGUGGCGAGUGGCGAACGGGUGAGUAACAUAUCGGAACGUGCCCAGUCGUGGGGGAUAACGUAGCGAAAGCUACGCUAAUACCGCAUACGAUCUAUGAAUGAAAGCGGGGGAUCGCAAGACCUCGCGCGAUUGGAGCGGCCGAUAUCAGAUUAGGUAGUUGGUGGGGUAAAGGCUCACCAAGCCGACGAUCUGUAGCUGGUCUGAGAGGACGACCAGCCACACUGGGACUGAGACACGGCCCAGACUCCUACGGGAGGCAGCAGUGGGGAAUUUUGGACAAUGGGCGCAAGCCUGAUCCAGCAAUGCCGCGUGCAGGAUGAAGGCCUUCGGGUUGUAAACUGCUUUUGUACGGAGCGAAAAGGCUUCCACUAAUACUGGGGGCUCAUGACGGUACCGUAAGAAUAAGCACCGGCUAACUACGUGCCAGCCGCCGCGGUAACAC